UACGUAGGCAGCGAGCGUUGUUCGGAGUUACUGGGCGUAAAGAGUGCGUAGGCGGUUUUCUAAGUUUGGUGUGAAAUCUCCCGGCUCAACUGGGAGGGUGCGCCGAAGACUGGAAGGCUUGAGUAUGGGAGAGGUAAGCGGAAUUCCUGGUGUAGCGGUGAAAUGCUUAGAUAUCGUCAAGAACACCGAUAGUGUAGACAGCUUACUAAGCUUUAACUGACGCUGAGGCACGAAAGUGUGGGGAUCAAACAGG
rnacentral:rRNA from 1 species